GGGUGCUUGGAUCAUUUUGGUUCAAGCAUUUGCGAGGACCAAAAAGACGAAAGCCCCGAAUUCUAUUUACAUAAAAUUCGAGGCAGUCUCAAGUCCCAAACAACUUGAUUCUGUCUCCUUUAACAAGGAGUGUCAAGAGAAAUGACUAAG
rfam:Proteus mirabilis strain HI4320, complete genome